rnacentral:rRNA from 1 species
UAGGGACUCUUCCGCAAUGGGCGAAAGCCUGACGGAGCAACGCCGCGUGAGUGAUGAAGGUCUUCGGAUCGUAAAACUCUGUUAUUAGGGAAGAACAAAUGUGUAAGUAACUAUGCACGUCUUGUCGGUACCUAAUCAGAAAGCCACGGCUAACUACGUGCCAGCAGCCGCGUUAAUACGUAGGUGGCAAGCGUUAUCCGGAAUUAUUGGGCGUAAAGCGCGCGUAGGCGGUUUUUUAAGUCUUAUGUGAAAGCCCACGGCUCAACCGUGGAUGGUCAUUUGAAACUGGAAAACUUGAGUGCAGAAGAGGAAAGUAGGAUUCCAUGUGUAGCGGUGACAUGCGCAGAGAUAUGGAGGAACACCAGUGGCGAAGGCGACUUUCUGGUCUGUAACUGACGCUGAUGUGCGAAAGCGUGGGGAUCAAACAGG